rnacentral:rRNA from 1 species
UGAGGAAUAUUGGUCAAUGGGCGAGAGCCUGAACCAGCCAAGUCGCGUGAAGGAUGAAGGAUCUAUGGUUUGUAAAACUUCUUUUAUAUGGGAAUAAAGUGAGGAACGUGUUCCUUUUGUAUGUACCAUAUGAAUAAGCAUCGGCUAACUCCGUGCC